AUUGAACGCUGGCGGCAUGCUUUACACAUGCAAGUCGAACGGCAGCGCGGGGCAACCUGGCGGCGAGUGGCGAACGGGUGAGUAAUAUAUCGGAACGUACCCAGAAGUGGGGGAUAAUGUAGCGAAAGUUACGCUAAUACCGCAUACGAUCUACGGAUGAAAGUAGGGGACCGCAAGGCCUUAUGCUUUUGGAGCGGCCGAUAUCUGAUUAGCUAGUUGGUGAGGUAAAGGCUCACCAAGGCGACGAUCAGUAGCUGGUCUGAGAGGACGACCAGCCACACUGGAACUGAGACACGGUCCAGACUCCUACGGGAGGCAGCAGUGGGGAAUUUUGGACAAUGGGCGCAAGCCUGAUCCAGCAAUGCCGCGUGAGUGAAGAAGGCCUUCGGGUUGUAAAGCUCUUUUGUCAGGGAAGAAACGGUAGAGGCUAAUAUCCUUUGCUAAUGACGGUACCUGAAGAAUAAGCACCGGCUAACUACGUG
rnacentral:rRNA from 1 species